rnacentral:rRNA from 1 species
CCCUUAGAUGUUCUGGGCUGCACGCGCGCUACACUGAUGCAUCCAACAAGUUUUUUCCUUGUUCGAGAGGACUAGGUAAUCUUAUGAGAAUGCAUCGUGAUGGGGAUAGAUUAUUGCAAUUAUUAAUCUUCAACGAGGAAUUCCUAGUAAGCGCGAGUCAUCAGCUCGUGCUGAUUACGUCCCUGCCCUUUGUACACACCGCCCGUCGCUGCAUCUGAUUGGGUGACCUGGUGAACAUCUUGGACCGGCCCACUCAAUUUCGAGAGGACUGGAAAAGGCCGUAAAUCAGGUACAUCUAGAAAGUGCAAAAGUCGUAACA